GGUUCAUUCAAAUUCUGCCCUAUCAACUUUCGACUGGCGGGUCUUGGCAGCCGUGGUGACAACGGGUAACGGAGGGGUAAGGCUCGACCCCGGAAAAGGAGCCUGAGAAACGGCUACUACAUCCAAGGAAGGCAGCAGGCGCGCAAAUUACCCAAUCCCGACCUGGGGAGGUAGUGACAAUAAAUACUGAUACAGGGCUCUUACGGGUCUUGUACUUGGAAUGAGUACAAUUAAAUCCCUUAACGGGGAACAAUUGGAGGGCAAGUCUGGUGCCAGCAGCCGGGGUAAUUCCAGCUCAAAUAGCGUAAAUUAAAGGUGUUGAGGUUAAAAAGCUCGUAGUUU
rnacentral:rRNA from 1 species